rnacentral:lncRNA from 1 species
UCCAGAAGCUGCAUGGAUUACACUAAGAGGCCAGGAGGGGGCUUCGGGAUUUGAGCAGCUCAGAGAAGUAUGCCUCAGGUGCAUCCUUGUUGGGUAGGAAUGACUAAGUGUCUAUUCCUCACAGCCUCAGUGGGUUCAGCUUCAAAAAUUGGGCUAUCCAACUACUUCUGGGGCCACAGGAGAAUGAUUAAUGAUUAACGACUGGCUACUUCCAAGGCUCACGGUGGGCUUGAAGAUCCCAAACUGAGAGAGACCCUGAGACCCCUGGCACCAGUGGGUAAGACUUAAACUCAGAGAGGAAAUCAGCUCUCCUGUAGUCUGGUGCUCUGCCCUGUCACUACAAUGGAACUCCAGGGGCUACAGGAUGAUUCUGGAAAAGCAUUCUAUAGGACUGAGAGCGCAAACCAGCAUCACAGCUGAUCGAGGUGCAGCAAAGCCUGUUUUCAGCUUCCUAAACAACAGUUCCUCUGGUUCAAGCACACCCGCCACUUCAGCUGCUGGUGGCCUACCUGGCAGUGUCAUCUACUCCACUGCACCCGUGGCCGCCCUGGGGUCUGGACAGGCCAGCAAGCCCAUGAGCAGCUCUCCUCUCCACCACCCUGCUCAAUCCAGUCUUUCUCAGUCUCUGCUGUUUGCUCAGGACAGAAAAUCAGCAGCCAUAUUCAGCUCAGCUAGAGCUGUCACCACCAGAAUAAAUACUGUAUCCAUUUAAAAGCUUGCCUUAGCCCGUUGCUUUUGUUGUUUAAAGCGAAGGUUAUAUAGCUCCUUUGAUCUGUAGCUCCACUAUAGAUAACAUCCUAGUUCUGAAGAACAAAGUGGGAAUCCUUGAACAAACUUGUGAUAUAUGUGCCUUAGCUGUCAAGGGUUCAGGACUGUAAUCAGUGACAGAAACCACCUGAGUCUAACCAUUAAACAGGAAUUGGAACUUUAUUUACUUAAGGAUCACUAGGGAUGAGAUAAUGACUGGCAAAAGUAUAAAAGGUGAUGGACAAAGAACACAGGGCAGGGACUCUGACCAGACCAGUUUCUGGCAGUCCGGCCUGCUUGUGAGAAAACUUUUAUUUUACACCCCCUCCAACCCCUCCCCCCCCAAAACUGCAUGGUACUGGCAAAGAAACAGACCUGAGGAUCAGUGGAAUAGAUCAGAAGAUGCAGAAACAACUCCAGACAUACUCAGCCACCCCGACUUUGGCAAAGAACUAUAUAUUUCAUGUGUUAUCCUGUAGGUUAGACUGAGUGUGCUUUUUUCCCACUCAUCAUUGUUAGGCAUAAAGUCAGAGAAGAGUCAGAGAAGUACACAUCAGAACAAUAGAUAUAAAACCUUUACUUUUCCCUAUUUUUUGGAUGAUGCCUUAUUAUACAAUUUCCACACAAGAGUUCAAAGUUCUUAGCAAUCAUAAUAAGAUAUUGGAAAGGAUACGAAGAGAAGAGGAACGAUUAGAAAAUAAAAUUUGGAAGGACAUAAAAUGUUAAGGAAAAUUAAAUGAGAGUAUAUUGUUUACUUAUAUAAUUAUAAAGAUAGCAGAGUUGAGAUCUAAUAAGAAAGUAAAACAUUAAAGUUAACUUAGUAUUUUCCAAUAAGUUGAAACUUAAAAGCUAUAAGCAAAUUCUAAAAUAUUAAUGUAGAAGGAGUAGAAAAUUUUAAGCAAAAUGGUAAAAACUAAUGAAGAGGAAGUUUUUCUUCAAUUGUUAUAGAAUUGAGAAUACGGGAGAAUUAAGAGCUCACAUUAUAAAAGAAAACCAAACUUAGAGGGAAAGAUUGUGAGAAUUUUUUAAAUAUAGUAGGAAAUGAGUCACUUUGACUCAUCACCGCAAUUACUUUUCAAAAUGGAAUAAUUCUAUAAAGAUUUGUAAAAUGUUCAACCUUUUAAAAAACUACACAGUGCAUGAAAGGAAGGAUGAUUUGCUCAUUCAUUUAGGAGUCAUAGGGCUGGGAAUGCCAGGGCUGAGGUGUCAUGGUGCCCCAGGCCACUCUGUGCAGAUAGGGUGGGGACCAGAUAGGUCUACAGAG